rnacentral:rRNA from 1 species
UGUUUACCAAAAACAACUUUAAUAGAUUUUAUUAUUAAUAAUAUCUGCUCAAUGAAAUUUAAAUAGCCGCAAUUAUUUGUGCUAAGGUAGCAUAAUCAUUUGUCUUUUAAUUGAAGUCUUGAAUGAAAGACUAUACAUUUAAUUUACUUCUCCAAAUUCAAAAUAAUUAAAUUAUCAUAAAUAUAAAAAGAUAUUUAUAAAUAAAAAAGACGAUAAGACCCUAUUGAACUUUACUUCAGUUUUACUGGGGCAGUAAAUUAAAAAUCAUUUUAAUUUUAACUUCAAACAUUUCUAAUAAAAUUAACUUAAAUAAGUUACCAUAGGGAUAACAGCGCAAUAUUUUACAAUAGACCUUAUACAAUAAAUUGAUUACGACCUCGAUGUUGAAUUAAUAUUCUUAUAAUCGCAAUAGAUUAAUAAAGAAAGUCUGUUCGACUUUUAAUUAAUUACAUGAUCUGAGUUCAAACCGG